AGAAUCCAGUAGAACUAAGAGAGAACUUUUCCAAACAAACUUUGCAACUGGAUCCAGGUGGAACAGUGCCCUGCAGCAAGGAGUAGUGUAUAGGUCAAUGAGAGGCCCUGCCUCCAGGAACCGUGACAGUGGCUUCCUGAGCCAUCUAACUCAUUUGAGAAAACACAUGGCGGCCAUGAUUCUCUCUACAAUCAGCCCCAUGCAGAGGGAUGCAUUUACAAGUCAAGGUUGAAACACGUCAUAGGGUACUCUCUUCCAUGGUCCAGCCAUCUUUGGCAACUCUACCCACAAUACUUCUCACUCCUUUGGAAAUGGAAUGGCCAGGAGAGAACCAAGGAUCCAUGUGACAGAAAGACAGACAGGCAAACACAGCCACCAGAAGCCAACUGCUCCAGGCACAGUCUCUAGCUGUUAGUCUCUUAGUGUCACUAGAGAACUGGAAAGCAACACGACUGGUAGAGCAGCAGAGAGCCCCAAGGAGAGUGCUCAGUGAUGGUUAACAGAUGAAACGGAAUUUCAUGGAGAUGCAUUGUUACAAGGAAGAACUGUUCAGUCUCAACUUCCUGGUUUAAGAGACCUAUGUUUUCUUUUUCAGUUCCUCGAAUCUCCGAGAAAGAUCAUCGAAGUCUAUGUCUUCUGAUGCUGAGCACUGGAGAUCAAAUCCAGGGACUUGAACAUGCUAAGCAAAUGCCCACCACUGAACUUACAGCCCCAGCUUCCCAGUGCUGGUAUUACAGACGAACCACCACACCCAACUUCUCCCAUUUUAAAUGUGCUUUCUGCGGUGCUAGCAGCACUUCAUUUUUUAACUUAUUGAACAACUUUAAUCAUGCUUACUUUAUGAAAACUCA